rnacentral:tRNA from 1 species
ACUGGGAUAGCUCAGUCAGUAGAGCAUGAGACUUUUAAUCUCAGGGUUGUGGGUUUGAACCCCACUUUGGGCA